GGGCCCGCACAAGCAGCGGAGCGUGUGGUUUAAUUCGAUGUUACACGAAGAACCUUACCAGGGUUUGACAUGCAAGUGGUAGGAAGCCGAAAGGUGACCGACCCUUCGGGGAGCUUGCACAGGUGCUGCAUGGCUGUCGUCAGCUCGUGUCGUGAGAUGUUCGGUUAAGUCCGCUAACGAGCGCAACCCUCGCUGUGUGUUAUAUGUGUCACACAGGACUGCUGGUAUUAAGCCGGAGGAAGGUGGGACGACGUCAAGUCAGCAUGACCUUUAUAUCCAGGGCUACACACACGCUACAAUGGUCAGUACAAUGGGUUGCCAAGCCGCGAGGCGGAGCCAAUCCUAAAAAGCUGGCCUCAGUUCAGAUUGCAGUCUGAAACUCGACUGCAUGAAGUCGGAGUUGCUAGUAAACGCAGGUCAGCUAUACUGCGUUGAAUACGUUCCCGGGGCUU
rnacentral:rRNA from 1 species